rnacentral:rRNA from 1 species
UACGGAGGGUGCGAGCGUUAAUCGGAAUUACUGGGCGUAAAGCGUGCGUAGGUGGCCCGUUAAGUCAGAUGUGAAAGCCCUGGGCUCAACCUGGGAACGGCAUUUGAAACUGGCGGGCUAGAGUUGGGUAGAGGGGAGCGGAAUUUCAGGUGUAGCGGUGAAAUGCGUAGAUAUCUGAAGGAACACCAGUGGCGAAGGCGGCUCCCUGGACCCAAACUGACGCUGAGGUACGAAAGCGUGGGUAGCAAACAGG